rnacentral:rRNA from 1 species
UACGUAGGGGGCUAGCGUUGUCCGGAAUCAUUGGGCGUAAAGCGCGUGUAGGCGGUCCGGUAAGUCCGCUGUGAAAGUCGGGGGCUCAACCCUCGAAUGCCGGUGGAUACUGUCAGACUAGAGUACGGAAGAGGCGAGUGGAAUUCCUGGUGUAGCGGUGAAAUGCGCAGAUAUCAGGAGGAACACCCAUUGCGAAGGCAGCUAACUAAGCUUUAACUGACGCUGAGGCACGAAAGUGUGGGGAUCAAACAGG